rnacentral:rRNA from 1 species
UACGUAGGGGGCUAGCGUUGUCCGGAAUCAUUGGGCGUAAAGCGCGUGUAGGCGGCUCGGUAAGUCCGCUCUGAAAGCCCGGGGGCUCAACCCCCGGGAGGCGGGUGGAUACUGCCGGGCUAGAGUCCGGAAGAGGCGAGUGGAAUUCCUGGUGUAGCGGUGAAAUGCGCAGAUAUCAGGAGGAACACCCGUGGCGAAGGCGGCCUGCUGGGCCGAUCCUGACGCUGAGGCGCGAAGGCGUGGGGAGCGAACGGG